rnacentral:rRNA from 1 species
AGAGCGAACGCUGGCGGCAGGCCUAACACAUGCAAGUCGAGCGCCCCGCAAGGGGAGCGGCAGACGGGAGAGUAACACGUGGGAACGUACCCUUCAGUUCGGAACAACCCAGGGAAACUUGGGCUAAUACCGAAUACGUCCGUAAGGAGAAAGAUUUAUCGCUGAAGGAUCGGCCCGCGUCUGAUUAGCUUGUUGGUGAGGUAACGGCUCACCAAGGCGACGAUCAGUAGCUGGUCUGAGAGGAUGAUCAGCCUCACUGGGACUGAGACACGGCCCAGACUCCUACGGGAGGCAGCAGUGGGGAAUAUUGGACAAUGGGCGCAAGCCUGAUCCAGCCAUGCCGCGUGGGUGAUGAAGGCCCUAGGGUUGUAAAGCCCUUUCGCCCGCGACGAUGAUGACGGUAGCGGGAGAGAAGCCCCGGCUAACUUCGCGCCAGCAGCCGC